rnacentral:rRNA from 1 species
CAUGCAAGUCGAGGGGCAGCGGGAUUGAAGCUUGCUUCAAUUGCCGGCGACCGGCGCACGGGUGAGUAACGCGUAUCCAACCUUCCGCUUACUCGGGGAUAGCCUUUCGAAAGAAAGAUUAAUACCCGAUGGUAUCUUAAGCACGCAUGAGAUUAAGAUUAAAGAUUUAUCGGUAAGCGAUGGGGAUGCGUUCCAUUAGGCAGUUGGCGGGGUAACGGCCCACCAAACCUACGAUGGAUAGGGGUUCUGAGAGGAAGGUCCCCCACAUUGGAACUGAGACACGGUCCAAACUCCUACGGGAGGCAGCAGUGAGGAAUAUUGGUCAAUGGGCGAGAGCCUGAACCAGCCAAGUAGCGUGAAGGAUGACGGCCCUACGGGUUGUAAACUUCUUUUGUGCGGGAAUAAAGGAACCUACGUGUAGGUUUUUGCAUGUACCGUAACGAAUAAGCAUCGGCUAACUCCGUGCCAGCAGCCGCGGUAAUACGGAGGAUGCGAGCGUUAUCCGGAUUUAUUGGGUUUAAAGGGAGCGUAGACGGGUUUUUAAGUCAGCUGUGAAAGUUUGGGGCUCAACCUUAAAAUUGCAGUUGAAACUGGAGACCUUGAGUACGGUUGAGGCAGGCGGAAUUCGUGGUGUAGCGGUGAAAUGCUUAGAUAUCACGAAGAACCCC